AUCAUUAGGGAGAAACGAAGUUACAUUGUUACGUGAUGGCUUAGUGGGUAACCUAUUUGCCUGCUAACUUUAGGGACACGUUGUGGUCUCAUUUCGAACCCGGACGUACAAAGACUUCGUCUCGUGUUGUGAGCCCAGCUGUCUGACGGAACGCCUAACGGCGAUACCGGACGUAAAAACUCAAAACACAAAGGUCGCUACUGGAAAAUUCACUACGAAACACGUGCUAUCACGAUGUUUCGACGAUGUCACGACGAAUUUUCGAUACAUACAUGAGACGUUUAUGAGCAGAAUAGUUGAAAGAUUCGAGCAGCCUGGCUGGCAUGUCAUCGAAAUGUGUUCGUCUGGACCGUUCAACGAAAAACAUCAUGGCUGCUCUCCAGACUAUGGUCAUGUCCGGGAAUAUUUGUUCCGGGUAUCUGCUCAAAACUGUGACAUCUUAGGAACCAUGAUACGACGUAUCCUCAAAGAUUCGCAUCAUAGUGCAUACAGAAUGCAGCUGACUUGGAAAAUCCAACUCCGCCGACGAUGUGCAGCGAAGAAGGCCUGCCAAUUGGGUAAUGACAAUAGGCGGUCAAUUAAUUUUUCAAUGAAGUCAUCUUCAACGACAGGGUCCAUUUCGAUUGUGAUGGUUUUGUAAGCAAACAAAACUGUCACAUUUGAGGGAAGGAAAAGCCACGUGUGUUCCACGGAGAAAGAAUCGAUUGUAUUCAAGUCACCCCUCGGUGAGGAUUUUGGGCUGGAGAUAGCAUUGGAUCAUUUGUCCUCGAGAACGCUCCCGAAAAUACACGAACACCCAAUGAUGGCCGGUAUUGAAGCGUGAUAACUCAGGAUUUUCAGCUCCAAAUCGAUGUUAUAAAUCUCGGAGGCAUGUGGUUCCAA